UUCCAAAAUUACGGAGGGAAUAGUUAUCCAAUUUCUUUCAUUCACGAGCAGGGAUGUGUUGCUUUGUUGACGCUACAGGGAAGUUUCCUGGUUUAAAGAAAGUUGUGGCUAUAGGCAACAGCUACUUCAACAAGCUUUGCAUGAAAUCGUGCGUGUGUAACUUAGUUCUAGUGUGAGUGUGUGAUAUUGUACUCUGCAGUAUUUACGAAGAGACUGGUUGGUUUAUAGUUUUGUUUAUGUAAAUGAAAAAUGUAAAGUUGUGUGUAGUAGUGAGACAAAAGCCUUUCAUACAUUUAUUUAAGGUUGUCUGUUGUCUGUUUGAAGGUGUGUCUGCAAAGCUCUGAAACGUUUUGUCAUUUUUGUCUCUUCUGCUCUGGAUAAGGUGGACUUCUCUCCUCUGACCUGUUACCAAGACAGCUGGGUGUGUAGGAAACUGGAACUAAGUCACUGAAGAAGUAAACCGAUGAAAACCGAUUUGGAUUGUCUGAGAGAUCUGUAGGACACAAGUAAGAGGAGAAGAAUGCUGCUCAGCUGGGUCGGCGUCGGCCACACUACUUAUUCAAGAAGCCCUUGGAUAUCAUCGGCAUGUAUGAAGCACAGUCAUUCCGGUAGUCCGUUCCUCGAUGGACGUGAUGACCUGGCACCAAAACCGCUUAAAGUGUAUGGAGCUGUGUCUGCAUCGAGGAAAGAACGCGGCACUGAAAUGACAAGAGGACUACUGCUCUACUGGGUCUGUGACACUACUUAUCCGAGGAGUCCUCAAACAUCAGGAUGUAGGAAGACACAAGUAAAAGGAGAAGAAUGCUGUUCAGCUGGGUCGGCGGCCACACUACUUAUUCAAGAAGCUCUUGGAUAUCAUCGGCAUGUAUGAAGUCCACUGAUGCCAAGCUGCUAAGGACCCCCC